rnacentral:tRNA from 1 species
CGGGAAGUGGCGCAGCUUGGUAGCGCGCAGCGUUCGGGACGCUGAGGCCGCGGGUUCAAGUCCCGCCUUCCCGACCA